rnacentral:rRNA from 1 species
AGAGUUUGAUCCUGGCUCAGGAUGAACGCUAGCGGCAGGCUUAACACAUGCAAGUCGAGGGGCAGCGCGGGGUAGCAAUACUCUGGCGGCGACCGGCGGAAGGGUGCGUAACGCGUGAGCAACAUGCCCGUGGCAGGGGGAUAAGCGAUGGAAACGUCGUCUAAGACCCCGUAACAACAGGGUUCGCAUGGACUUUGUUUGAAAGCUUCGGCGGCCACGGAUUGGCUCGCGUCCCAUUAGGCAGUUGGCGGGGUAACGGCCCACCAAACCGACGAUGGGUAGGGGUUCUGAGAGGAAGGUCCCCCACAAUGGAACUGAGACACGGUCCAUACUCCUACGGGAGGCAGCAGUGAGGAAUAUUGGUCAAUGGGCGGAAGCCUGAACCAGCCAUGCCGCGUGCAGGAAUAAGGCCCUACGGGUCGUAAACUGCUUUUGUACGGGAGCAAUAAGGGCCACGUGUGGUCCGAUGAGAGUACCGUACGAAUAAGCAUCGGCUAACUCCGUGCCAGCAGCCGCGGUAAUACGGAGGAUGCGAGCGUUAUCCGGAUUCAUUGGGUUUAAAGGGUGCGUAGGCGGCGUGCCAAGUCAGGGGUGAAAGGUUCCGGCUCAACUGGGACAGUGCCUUUGAUACUGGUGUGCUGGAGUGCGCUUGCCGUGGGAGGAAUGAGUGGUGUAGCGGUGAAAUGCUUAGAUAUCACUCAGAACACCGAUUGCGAAGGCAUCUCACGAAGGCGUAACUGACGCUGAGGCACGAAAGCGUGGGGAUCAAACAGGAUUGGAUACCCUGGUAGUCCACGCCGUAAACGAUGAUGACUAACCGCCGGUCCGAUAGGGUCGGUGGCCAAGCGAAAGCGAUAAGUCAUCCACCUGGGGAGUACGACCGCAAGGUUGAAACUCAAAGGAAUUGACGGGGGCCCGCACAAGCGGAGGAACAUGUGGUUUAAUUCGAUGAUACGCGAGGAACCUUACCCGGGCUCGAACGGCAAGUGAAGAGAGACAGAGAUGUUGACGUCCUUCGGGACACUUGUCGAGGUGCUGCAUGGUUGUCGUCAGCUCGUGCCGUGAGGUGUCGGCUCAAGUGCCAUAACGAGCGCAACCCCUGCUUCCAGUUACCAGCACGUAAAGGUGGGGACUCUGGAGGGACUGCCACCGCAAGGUGAGAGGAAGGGGAGGAUGACGUCAAAUCAGCACGGCCCUUACGUCCGGGGCGACACACGUGUUACAAUGGCGGCCACAGAGGGAAGCUACCCUGCGAGGGGAUGCGGAUCUCGAAAAGCCGUCUCAGUUCGGAUCGGAGUCUGCAACUCGACUCCGUGAAGCUGGAUUCGCUAGUAAUCGCGCAUCAGCCAUGGCGCGGUGAAUACGUUCCCGGGCCUUGUACACACCGCCCGUCAAGCCAUGGAAGCCGGGGGCGCCUGAAGUUCGUGACCGCGAGGAGCGACCUAGGGCGAACCUGGUAACUGGGGCUAAGUCGUAACAAGGUAGCCGUACCGGAAGGUGUGGCUGGAACACCUCCUU